CUUGCUUGACACUGUUACCUCGCCGACCCCAAAUCUCUCCCAAUGUCAUCGUCUUGGCACUCAUCGGCUCGCCUCCAAGCAUCCACCAAUGUCCUCUCAUUUCCUUUCGACCUUCAUCCUCUCUUUGUGGUCCUCAUUGGGCCCUCUCCACACAACAAACAUGGAGGAUGCAGCGGACGAAAUCGGUCAUCUGCCACAAAUAAGUGAUCGCCCCGUUUGUCCCUGCAGACAAGCUCCUCUCCUCCAUCAUGUGCCCUCUGCCCUGUCCUAGCUUUCCUUGCACCUGGACGACACACACGUAUGAUCGUGCACGACGAUGGCAAACUCCAACGAGCAGCCAAUCGAAAGGCCGACUCAAUCAAGACAGGACUGGAAAGGGGGUGGGGGCAUGUUAGCAACGCCGAUUGCGGGCGGGUCGACAAGCUAGGAGGAAGACGAUAGUGAUAUCAAUUGAAACAAUCUUUUUUAGGCUUAGACAACUUCUCCUUUUAUCGAUCUAAUAUAUCUACUAAAAAUACCAAUGUAAUUUAUUAAUAAACUGAAAUCACUCAAUCGUCAUAGACUGCCGGAGUAAAAAAUUAGGGGAACCAUCAGGGGCAGUUACCUUUUCAGCCCGAGCUCAAAUGAGCUUUGGGCGAAUAGUAAAAACAAAACAAAUUAAAAAAAUUAAAAAAUAUCUGAAUUUUUGUUGUGACAAAUGUUCUAAGAUCUUAAUUUUUUUAUCAUGAAAUCACAUUUAUGAAAGGCC
rnacentral:lncRNA from 1 species